GCCGAGUUCGGGAGGGCGAUCAAGCGAGGGUAUCUUUGAGGCUCUGGAAUCUGGAAUGGAUCUGGCUGUUCAUGCCCGAGUUGGAUUUGGGUAUUCUUAGAAGCAGAGAUGUCUGCAUGAUGAGUUGAAACCUUGCAACCGGUGCUUGGUAAACAUUGGUAAGGAUUGAGGAAGACCAAAGCUGGCGGUGAUGUGCGUAUCUAGUUUUACUUGAUCAGUGACUCGGUGCUAGCCUAAUCUAAUUGGGCCAUUCCCCCAAAAGGAAGAAGAUAUAGAGCUUUUCUGGGUACAUGUUCUUUGUCAUAUCACUAAGUGCACAAACUAUUUAUUUUAUGGCUUCGAAUUCAAACUUGAAAAGUUUCAACCAUGAAUUUAAAUUGCCUGAUGCGCCAGAGGAACUAUUCGCAGGACUAAACAGCAUCCUGUAGUAUUGUCCUUCAAAGUGAGUGUCCAUUUGUUUGUUUUUGUAGUGUUCUUAGUUGUUGCUGUGCUGGGGUUGGGUCCAUGUUUAGUUUGUUAUAAUUGAAAAGCUCCACUUGAUUUGAUCUCUA